rnacentral:misc_RNA from 1 species
AACGCACCUUGCGCUCCUUGGUAUUCCGAGGAGCAUGCCUGUUUGAGUGUCAUUUAAUUCUCAAUCUCUACAAACUUGUGUUGUUAGUAGAUUGGAGGUGGGGGUUUUGUGGGCGUAUCUUGUGUAUACCCACUCCUCUGAAAACUAUUAGCUGGAAUGCCUUUGCAAAACCAACUAUCAGUAUGAUAAUUAUCUACUCUGAUGUUGUUGUAAAGGGAAUCUGCUUUCAAACCGUCGUUAUGACACUUUGAAUCCAUUUGACCUCAAAUCAGGUAGGACUACCCGCUGAACUUAA